GUGACGUUGAUGGUCAUGCGGUCGAUGCCAUAGCGUGAUGCCAUAGUGCACGCAUGGCGCUCGUAUCCGGCGGCGGCCAAGAGAGCGACCACGUCGAUGGUCCACGCCGGCGGCGGCGAGUCGGACAACCAUGACGCAUCGGCAGCGCGCUCGGGCGCCAGUGCCUCUAGGACUUCAAUGUCCCCAUAAGCCGCGGCAGUCAGAGCCGCACGUCUCGGCCAGCGCACCGAUGACUGACGCAAAAGGGCCAGCGCCCGCUCUCUUGAAUCCCCGACGCGACGGCCGCGCUUGUGGGGCGAUGGCCACAGGGCAAAACAGACCUGAUGGCCGCCGAGUGAGAGUGGACCCGUGUACGUCAAAUGCUCGACGUGGAGGGUUGCCGUGCACGGCCUGCACUCUUUGCCAGAGCGGCACCGACCAAACACAUUGGUGCGCAUCUUGGCCGCCCAUGUGCGCGGAAAGUGCCUGGACAUGAUGUCGGCCACGUGGAUGCCGACAGCCGGGUCGGCGGCAGAGAGCACGUGCCGGUGGAGGCGCUCGGACGUUGUAGCGCCAUUGAUCCGGUGGUGGAUGGCACUGGCGUCCUCGUCGCCCAGGGCCUCGCGUGCCAAGGCGCACAAUCGAUCGGCCUCGUCAAAGCGCUUCGUGAGAAAGGCCUCCCAUAGAGCCUCGGCUUGGUAUGAGGUCCACGUGCCACUGCUGCGCGACUCACAUGGUGCUAUCUCACCGAUAUCGGGCACGUGUUGCCGAAUGACCGCAAUGGCCUUGUCGCCGAUGGGCCGGCGGUUGUUGCGGUUCCACUUUGUGAUCCCCCGCCCCCACGCCGCGCCGUCGGCGAACCUCGUCGCAUCAAAGUGUUGUGCACCGCGACAUAAAAGGGCGAGGCGAUCGAGUGCGACCGGGUCGUCGCCGGCGUUUGACGCGCGCUCCAUGAUCGCGCAGUCAGUGAUGCAACUGAGCGGCUCCCAAAAAAGGGCCGGUCGCGCGUUGAUCUCCUCGGCUGUGAGACACUCUUGGGCGCACGCGUAAUGACCGCGCUCAAUGGCUCCCCCGAUGCCCAGGACUUGGCCGCUCUCCCACACCUCCUGACGGAAGACGCACAUGCCGACCAUCUCGUGGGCCAACGCUGCGCCGGUCGCGUCGACGCGGGCGCUCGCCCCACAACAGCAGACGGCGUCAUAGAGAAGCCACGACGUCAGCGCCUGCCGUGCCCCUGUGUCGCCCAAGUGGGCAAAGGCGGGCAGGACGAGGCCCUCUAGUUGGCGACACAACGCCCGUGCAUCGUCGACCCUGCCGGCGGCCAGCAACUUGGUGAUGUGUACCGAGUAACACAUGGCACUGCAGCCCAUGGCUAUGGUCAAGUUGAUCCCAUCGGCGCGUUGGCCGCACGAGCAGCGGUCGCACAAAUGCAUGUCGCAACCGCACACGCAUUCGCCAAUGGCCACUGCCGGGCGCAGGGCCAUGGCCUGCUGAUGCCCCAGGACACGCAGGGCGCGUGCGGCACCGACGUAGCCGACGGCGCCGCGCGGAUCGAGGAAAGAAAGAAUCUCGCAAUGCACUUCGGGCGGGAGAUCGACGAGCGCCAACGGUGUCGAAUCGAGGUCGGGAUUGCCGUCCGACGCCGACGGAUGCACAAUGGUUGUCAAAGAGGUUUCAACAUCAGGAUGGUCGUCGCGCCCAAGGCAACCCCUGUUGUUUGGCGAGACGCCAUGGCCGUCGUUGGUCUCUUUGGUGCGUUGCUUUUUCUCAACGUCGUCGUCGUCGUCAUCACCGUCAAAGCGGUCGAGGGCAUGCAUCGGCAAGAGCACAUAGGCGGCGCCCGUCAAGAGCGCCGACCACAAAAGGCAAAACAACCACCAGGAGCCAUCCAUCGCGAUCAAAGCGCACGCACACACAGCACAAAAUAGAAUGGCAAUGUCUUUUACCCGCC
rnacentral:lncRNA from 1 species